AUCCAUCCGACAUGUCUCAAAUAGGACGAAAUGCGCGUCCUAGAU
rnacentral:hammerhead_ribozyme from 1 species